GAUGAACGCUGGCGGCGUGCCUAAUACAUGCAAGUCGAGCGAACGGACGAGAAGCGUGCUUCUCUGAUGUUAGCGGCGGACGGGUGAGUAACACGUGGAUAACCUACCUAUAAGACUGGGAUAACUUCGGGAAACCGGAGCUAAUACCGGAUAAUAUUUUGAACCGCAUGGUUCAAAAGUGAAAGACGGUCUUGCUGUCACUUAUAGAUGGAUCCGCGCUGCAUUAGCUAGUUGGUAAGGUAACGGCUUACCAAGGCAACGAUGCAUAGCCGACCUGAGAGGGUGAUCGGCCACCCUGGAACUGAGACACGGUCCAGACUCCUACGGGAGGCAGCAGUAGGGAAUCUUCCGCAAUGGGCGAAAGCCUGACGGAGCAACGCCGCGUGAGUGAUGAAGGUCUUCGGAUCGUAAAACUCUGUUAUUAGGGAAGAACAUAUGUGUAAGUAACUGCGCACAUCUUGACGGUACCUAAUCAGAAAGCCACGGCUAACUACGU
rnacentral:rRNA from 1 species